rnacentral:rRNA from 1 species
AUACGUAUGGUGCAAGCGUUAUCCGGAUUUACUGGGUGUAAAGGGAGCGCAGGCGGCGCGGCAAGUCUGAUGUGAAAGCCCGGGGCUCAACCCCGGUACUGCAUUGGAAACUGUCGUGCUAGAGUGUCGGAGGGGUAAGCGGAAUUCCUAGUGUAGCGGUGAAAUGCGUAGAUAUUAGGAGGAACACCAGUGGCGAAGGCGAUUUGCUGGGCUAUUACUGACGUUCAUGCACGAAAGCGUGGGGAGC